rnacentral:rRNA from 1 species
GACGAACGCUGGCGGCGUGCUUAACACAUGCAAGUCGAGCGGUAAGGCCCUUUCGGGGGUACACGAGCGGCGAACGGGUGAGUAACACGUGGGUGACCUGCCCUCAGCUCUGGGAUAAGCCUGGGAAACCGGGUCUAAUACUGGAUAUGACUCCAUGACGCAUGUUGUGGGGUGGAAAGCCUUGUGCGGCUGAGGAUGGGCCCGCGGCCUAUCAGCUUGUUGGUGGGGUAANGGCCUACCAAGGCGACGACGGGUAGCCGGCCUGAGAGGGCGACCGGCCACACUGGGACU